rnacentral:rRNA from 1 species
CCUACGGGUGACAGCAGUGAGGAAUAUUGGUCAAUGGCCGGAAGGCUGAACCAGCCAAGCCGCGUGAAGGACGAAGGUGCCAAGCAUUGUAAACUUCUUUUGUCAAGGGACAAAAUCAGGCUCGAGAGCCUGACCGAGGGUACUUGAAGAAAAAGCAUCGGCUAACUCCGUGCCAGCAGCCGCGGUAAUACGGAGGAUGCGAGCGUUAUCCGGAUUUAUUGGGUUUAAAGGGUGCGUAGGCGGGCUGUUAAGUCAGCGGUCAAAUGUCGGGGCUCAACCCUGUCGAGCCGUCGGAACUGGCAGUCUUGAGUGGGCGAGAAGUAUGCGGAAUGCGUGGUGUAGCGGUGAAAUGCAUAGAUAUCACGCAGAACGCCGAUUGCGAAGGCAGCAUACCGGCGCCCGACUGACGCUGAGGCACGAAAGCGUGGGGAUCGAACAGGAUUAGAUACCCUGGUAGUC